GCACAAGACGGUGGAGACAUGUGGUUUAAUGUUCGAUGAUACGACGAGGAACCUUACCUGGGCUAGAAUGCAGUCUGACCGAUGUUGAAAGGUGUCCUUGUAGCAAUACACAGAUUGUAAGGUGCUGCAUGGCUGUCGUCAGCUCGUGCCGUGAGGUGUUGGGUUAAGUCCCGCAACGAGCGCAAACCCCUAGUCACUAGUUGCCAGCACGUUAUGGUGGAAACUCUAGUGAAACUGCCGUCGUAAGACGCGAGGAAGGAGGGGAUGAUGUCAAGUCAUCAUGGCCUUUAUGCCCAGGGCUACACACGUGCUACAAUGGUGGGAACAAAGGGCUGCUACUUGGUAACAAGCUGCUAAUCUCAAAAAUGCCCAUCUCAGUUCGGAUUGAGGUCUGCAACUACAUC
rnacentral:rRNA from 1 species